UGUGUUAAUAUAGGUUAUGAACAUAUGGACCUUCUUAACAAAAGGACAACAUCAUCAUCUCCAACUCCAGAUGACAUUGACCCACUCAACUACUAUGAUCCAUCAGACCAUCACGACUAACAAAAUCAAGUCACUAGUGAAGACCCGUUUAGUUUCCCAGAUGGAUCAGAUUUGGCAAUUGGUCAAGAAUUCAAGAACAAGGACGAGUGUGUGCAGCAAAAGUUACCAGUUGGAAAAGAGACACUGAAGCCAAAAGAUUGAUAAAUAUUCCAUUAUAGAACUCGUCUGACAUGAGUAAAGCUCGACCAUGGAUGGUUGAGUUUUGAAAAGAUUGAUAAAUAUUUCAGCAUAGAGCUCUACUGAUGUGAGUAGAGGUCAACUGUCAACGGUCGAGAUUUGGAAGACAAAUGAUAAUUUCAUCAUAGAGGUCAACUGACAUGAGUAGAGCUUGACCAUGGAUGGUUGAGCUUUGCAAAGAUUGAUAAAUAUUUUAGCAUAAAGCUCAACUGAUGUGAGUAGAGCUCAACUGUUAACGAUCGAGAUUUGGAAAACUAAUGAUAAUUUCAUCUUAGAGCUCAACUGACAUGAGUAUAGCUCAACUAUGGGUGAUCGAGCUUGUGACAAUGUGUUUGAUAAGAAUAAUUAAAUCUUAAUAAAUACGAUAAUUUUGUCUAGGAAAAUUAUGAAAAUACAAAUAUUUUUGUACAAUUAAUUUAUUAAUUAUAUUCACAAUUUUAUUUAUUAGUAAAAUAUUUGAAUGAA